rnacentral:rRNA from 1 species
CCCCGUACACAAAAAUGCACAUAUUGUGAGCUCGAUGAGUAGGGCGGGACACGUGGUAUCCUGUCUGAAUAUGGGGGGACCAUCCUCCAAGGCUAAAUACUCCUGACUGACCGAUAGUGAACCAGUACCGUGAGGGAAAGGCGAAAAGAACCCCGGCGAGGGGAGUGAAAAAGAACCUGAAACCGUGUACGUACAAGCAGUGGGAGCCUCUUAAUGGGGUGACUGCGUACCUUUUGUAUAAUGGGUCAGCGACUUAUAUUCUGUAGCAAGGUUAACCGAAUAGGGGAGCCGAAGGGAAACCGAGUCUUAACUGGGCGUUAAGUUGCAGGGUAUAGACCCGAAACCCGGUGAUCUAGCCAUGGGCAGGUUGAAGGUUGGGUAACACUAACUGGAGGACCGAACCGACUAAUGUUGAAAAAUUAGCGGAUGACUUGUGGCUGGGGGUGAAAGGCCAAUCAAACCGGGAGAUAGCUGGUUCUCCCCGAAAGCUAUUUAGGUAGCGCCUCGUGAAUUCAUCUCCGGGGGUAG